rnacentral:snRNA from 1 species
GAUCGCUUCAGCGGUACUUAUACUAAAAUUAGAACGAUACAGAGAAGAUUAGCAUGGCCCCUGCGCAAGGAUAACACGCAAAAUAAUUUAUAUAUUCAUUUAAUUUUU